rnacentral:rRNA from 1 species
AGAGUUGAUCCUGGCUUAGGAUGAACGGCUGGCGGCGUGCUUAACACAUGCAAGUCGAACGAAGCAGUUAUUACGAUCCCUUCGGGGUGACGAUUACUGACUGAGUGGCGGACGGGUGAGUAACGCGUGGGUAACCUGCCUUGUACAGGGGGACAACAGUUGGAAACGACUGCUAAUACCGCAUAAGCGCACGAUAUCGCAUGGUAUAGUGUGAAAAGUUAUUUCGGUACAAGAUGGACCCGCGUCUGAUUAGCUAGUUGGUGAGGUAACGGCUCACCAAGGCGACGAUCAGUAGCCGACCUGAGAGGGUGACCGGCCACAUUGGGACUGAGACACGGCCCAAACUCCUACGGGAGGCAGCAGUGGGGAAUAUUGCACAAUGGGCGAAAGCCUGAUGCAGCCGACGCCGCGUGAGCGAAGAAGUAUUUCGGUAUGUAGAGCUCUAUCAGCAGGGAAGAUAAUGACGGUACCUGACUAAGAAGCACCGGCUAAAUACGUGCCAGCCGCCGC